CUUGGGAGAAUGUUUUUUAAAAAGGAUUCCUUUUUAAAAAUUCAAAAAUUGAAUAUAGUUCUAGGUAAAAUAUUGAUAAUGACAAAAUUUUAUCUACAUGUCUUGACCAAAUCUUGUGCCAGCAGUCGCGGCAACACAAGGAAGACUAGUGUUAUUCAUCUUAAAUCGGUUUAACGGGUACCUAGACGGUAAAUUAGGCCUUAAUCGGAACAUUUUUACUAGAGUUAUAUAUGCGUGAGGAUGAUAUGUCAGUAUUACCAGAGUAGAGAUAGAAUUUUUUGAUACUGUUAAGACUGGUAAAGGCAAAAGCAAACCUUUAUAUAUUAACUGACGUUGAGGGACGAAGGCUUGGGUAGCAAACAGGAUUAGAUACCCUAAUAGUCCUGGCAGAGAAUUAUGAAUGUCAUAGAUUACAUGGAUUAUA
rnacentral:rRNA from 1 species